rnacentral:rRNA from 1 species
UGGGCGUAGAGGGCUCGCAGGCGGUUUCUUAAGUCUGAUGUGAAAGCCCCCGGCUCAACCGGGGAGGGUCAUUGGAAACUGGGAAACUUGAGUGCAGAAGAGGAGAGUGGAAUUCCACGUGUAGCGGUGAAAUGCGUAGAGAUGUGGAGGAACACCAGUGGCGAAGGCGACUCUCUGGUCUGUAACUGACGCUGAGGAGCGAAAGCGUGGGGAGCGAACAGGAUUAGAUACCCUGGUAGUCCACGCCGUAAACGAUGAGUGCUAAGUGUUAGGGGGUUUCCGCCCCUUAGUGCUGCAGCUAACGCAUUAAGCACUCCGCCUGGGGAGUACGGUCGCAAGACUGAAACUCAAAGGAAUUGACGGGGGCCCGCACAAGCGGUGGAGCAUGUGGUUUAAUUCGAAGCAACGCGAAGAACCUUACCAGGUCUUGACAUCCUCUGACAACCCUAGAGAUAGGGCUUUCCCUUCGGGGACAGAGUGACAGGUGGUGCAUGGUUGUCGUCAGCUCGUGUCGUGAGAUGUUGGGUUAAGUCCCGCAACGAGCGCAACCCUUGAUCUUAGUUGCCAGCAUUUAGUUGGGCACUCU